GUGCGAGACCGAUAGCGAACAAGUACCGUGAGGGAAAGAUGAAAAGAACUUUGAAAAGAGAGUUAAAGAGUACCUGAAACUGCUGAAAGGGAAUCGAAUCGUUUCCAGUGUCUAUAAUCCGUGGCAUAUUUCAUUGGCGUGCUUCGGCUUGCCGGUGCCCUGUGUUGCGGUGGGACGUCAGAGUCAGUUCGAAUGCUGCGGGAAAUGGCUGCUAGGGAGGUAGGUCACUUCGGUGAUUGUUAUAUCCUGGCGUGCUAGUCGUCGUGGUUGGGACUGAGGUGCCUACAACGUGCUUUCGAGUCUGCGGGACUCUCGUUUGGUUGUUUGCUUUGACAGCUUGCUGUGUUGGUAAACGUAUCGAGCGAUUGAGGCCUGUCGUAACUUGUUGCUGUUCGGGACUUUGA
rnacentral:rRNA from 1 species